rnacentral:rRNA from 1 species
CACGUAGGGCGCAAGCGUUGUCCGGAAUUAUUGGGCGUAAAGAGCUCGUAGGCGGUCUGUUGCGUCCGCUGUGAAAACUCGGGGCUUAACCCCGAGCCUGCAGUGGAUACGGGCAGACUAGAGGUAGGUAGGGGAGAAUGGAAUUCCCGGUGUAGCGGUGAAAUGCGUAGAUAUCAGGAGGAACACCUGUGGCGAAAGCGGCUCACUGGACCAUAACUGACGCUGAUGCACGAAAGCUAGGGGAGCAAACAGG